rnacentral:lncRNA from 1 species
CAGCCUGUACAGUCACAUUGCAGGAAUGUGGCUCUUGCAUGCAAUCUCUCCACUUCAUUGAUAGGUCCCUAACAACUUUGCAGCCUGUGAGCCAUGAGCAGCUGUGUACUGCUGAUGUUCAACAAACUCAGUGAGCGGGGCUCAAGCUUGAAGAAGAAAUGAAUACCCGAUGCAAGUGUUAGUGGAUCAUGUCCUGGACUGUGGCUUUCAACCUUAAAUCACAGUACUUCUCUUUGCUUAAAAUUCCUGUGCCAUUCAUAUAGAGUUUUUGUGCCUUCUGUUAUAAGAGAUUUUAUUCAAAACUCAUUGGAAUUACUUUUCAUUGACCCAGUUUGUUGAACUAUGGAGUCAGAAUUACUUAGGCCAGAAGUCAAAG